UCGUGACCUGAGCCGAAGUCAGACACUCAACCAACUGAGCCACCCAGGCGCCCUGGACACGGUCUCCCUGGCCCAGCGCAUCUACAUCUUUGCACUUGACAUCUACUCCAAAAUGCUGGAAAAUAGCACGUGUCCUCAAGGGGAUGCCCUUGUGCACCUCCGGUCCUGUUUCCCUUCAAGCCCCGCCCGUGUUGAUUGCUCUCAGUGCCUUCAUAAUUCUUAUCAUGAUGAAUCAUAUUUCCUCCAUAAAAAAGGAAUAGUUUGUCUCUGAAGAAGAGAGACAAAUGAGAUUCAAUGGUAGGUGAAAAGCAGGGGGCAGCCUCCUGCGCCCUAGAGUCGCUUUAGAAAUAAGCUAGUGGCCGACAGAGCUGCACGGUAAUACUAUCUUUUAAACUUGACUAUCAAAACUUCAUGACAGAAUGUUAACAAUUAACUUUAAAGUAAUAUUUCAGAUUUAGGCUUUUAUCUUGGCAGGGUGGCCCUUCUUUUAAAAAACGAUGCUGUGGGGAGGGGGGGGACGCCUGGGUGGCUCAGUCCUUUAAGCCUCCGCCUCUUGCUCUGGGCUCAGGUCCUGAUCUCUUGGUCGUGGGAUCAAGCUCCACACGGGGCUCUGCACCAACCGCAGGGAGCCUGCUUGGGAUUCUCUCUCUCCCCCCCUCUCUCUGCCCCUUCCCCAUUCUCUUGCUCUCAAAAUAAGUAACCUUAAAAAAAAAAACAUUUUGAACCCAUUCCUUCACCAAUCCUAAAUUCUUAUUGAGUAAUUUACUCAUUGCCCCUUUCAUAUGAAUGGUUCACACUGUGUAUUUGUGCUUUUCUUUUUCAAUAUAAUUUAUUGUCAAAUUAGCUAACAUAGUGUGUACAGUGUGCUCUUGCUUUUGGAAGAAGACAAUAAAUUUCAAUGAGUA